rnacentral:rRNA from 1 species
GGCAGGCCUAACACGAUGCAAGUCGAACGGUAACAGGAAGCAGCUUGCUGCUUUGCUGACGAGUGGCGGACGGGUGAGUAAUGUCUGGGAAACUGCCUGAUGGAGGGGGAUAACUACUGGAAACGGUGGCUAAUACCGCAUAACGUCGCAAGACCAAAGAGGGGGACCUUCGGGCCUCUUGCCAUCAGAUGUGCCCAGAUGGGAUUAGCUUGUUGGUGAGGUAACGGCUCACCAAGGCGACGAUCCCUAGCUGGUCUGAGAGGAUGACCAGCCACACUGGAACUGAGACACGGUCCAGACUCCUACGGGAGGCAGCAGUGGGGAAUAUUGCACAAUGGGCGCAAGCCUGAUGCAGCCAUGCCGCGUGUAUGAAGAAGGCCUUCGGGUUGUAAAGUACUUUCAGCGGGGAGGAAGGUGUUGUGGUUAAUAACCGCAGCAAUUGACGUUACCCGCAGAAGAAGCACCGGCUAACUCCGUGCCAGCAGCCGCGGUAAUACGGAGGGUGCAAGCGUUAAUCGGAAUUACUGGGCGUAAAGCGCACGCAGGCGGUCUGUCAAGUCGGAUGUGAAAUCCCCGGGCUCAACCUGGGAACUGCAUUCGAAACUGGCAGGCUUGAGUCUUGUAGAGGGGGGUAGAAUUCCAGGUGUAGCGGUGAAAUGCGUAGAGAUCUGGAGGAAUACCGGUGGCGAAGGCGGCCCCCUGGACAAAGACUGACGCUCAGGUGCGAAAGCGUGGGGAGCAAACAGGAUUAGAUACCCUGGUAGUCCACGCCGUAAACGAUGUCUACUUGGAGGUUGUGCCCUUGAGGCGUGGCUUCCGGAGCUAACGCGUUAAGUAGACCGCCUGGGGAGUACGGCCGCAAGGUUAAAACUCAAAUGAAUUGACGGGGGCCCGCACAAGCGGUGGAGCAUGUGGUUUAAUUCGAUGCAACGCGAAGAACCUUACCUGGUCUUGACAUCCACGGAAGUUUUCAGAGAUGGAUUGGUGCCUUCGGGAACCGUGAGACAGGUGCUGCAUGGCUGUCGUCAGCUCGUGUUGUGAAAUGUUGGGUUAAGUCCCGCAACGAGCGCAACCCUUAUCCUUUGUUGCCAGCGGUCCGGCCGGGAACUCAAAGGAGACUGCCAGUGAUAAACUGGAGGAAGGUGGGGAUGACGUCAAGUCAUCAUGGCCCUUACGACCAGGGCUACACACGUGCUACAAUGGCGCAUACAAAGAGAAGCGACCUCGCGAGAGCAAGCGGACCUCAUAAAGUGCGUCGUAGUCCGGAUUGGAGUCUGCAACUCGACUCCAUGAAGUCGGAAUCGCUAGUAAUCGUGGAUCAGAAUGCCACGGUGAAUACGUUCCCGGGCCUUGUACACACCGCCCGUCACACCAUGGGAGUGGGUUGCAAAAGAAGUAGGUAGCUUAACCUUCGGGAGGGCGCUUACCACUUUGUGAUUCAUGACUGGGGUGAAGUCGUAACAAGGUAACCGUAGGGGAACCUGCGGUUGGAUCACCUCCUUACCUUAAAGAAGC